rnacentral:rRNA from 1 species
GACGAACGCUGGCGGCGUGCUUAACACAUGCAAGUCGAGCGGUAAGGCCCUUUUGGGGGUACACGAGCGGCGAACGGGUGAGUAACACGUGGGUGACCUGCCCUCAGCUCUGGGAUAAGCCUGGGAAACUGGGUCUAAUACUGGAUAUGACCUUUCCUCGCAUGGGGUUGGGUGGAAAGUUUUUCGGCUGGGGAUGGGCCCGCGGCCUAUCAGCUUGUUGGUGGGGUGAUGGCCUACCAAGGCGACGACGGGUAGCCGGCCUGAGAGGGCGACCGGCCACACUGGGACUGAGACACGGCCCAGACUCCUACGGGUGGCAGCAGUGGGGAAUAUUGCGCAAUGGGCGGAAGCCUGACGCAGCGACGCCGCGUGGGGGAUGACGG